ACACCGAGAGUGNAGUCGGUUAGAAUACCGGCCUGUCACGCCGGGGGUCGCGGGUUCGAGUCCCGUCCGCUGCGCCA
rnacentral:tRNA from 1 species